rnacentral:rRNA from 1 species
GACGAACGCUGGCGGCGUGCUUAACACAUGCAAGUCGAACGGUAAGGCUCCAGCUUGCUGGGGUACACGAGUGGCGAACGGGUGAGUAACACGUGGGUGACCUGCCCUGCACUUCGGGAUAAGCCUGGGAAACUGGGUCUAAUACCGGAUAGGACUGCACCGUGAGGGUGUGGUGGAAAGUUUUUUCGGUGUGGGAUGGGCCCGCGGCCUAUCAGCUUGUUGGUGGGGUAAUGGCCUACCAAGGCGGCGACGGGUAGCCGGCCUGAGAGGGUGGACGGCCACAUUGGGACUGAGACACGGCCCAGACUCCUACGGGAGGCAGCAGUGGGGAAUAUUGCACAAUGGGCGGAAGCCUGAUGCAGCGACGCCGCGUGGGGGAUGACGGCCUUCGGGUUGUAAACUCCUUUCACCAUCGACGAAGGGUUUCUGACGGUAGAUGGAGAAGAAGCACCGGCUAACUACGUGCCAGCAGCCGCGGUAAUACGUAGGGUGCGAGCGUUGUCCGGAAUUACUGGGCGUAAAGAGCUCGUAGGUGGUUUGUCGCGUCGUCUGUGAAAUUCCGGGGCUUAACUCCGGGCGUGCAGGCGAUACGGGCAUAACUUGAGUACUGUAGGGGAGACUGGAAUUCCUGGUGUAGCGGUGAAAUGCGCAGAUAUCAGGAGGAACACCGGUGGCGAAGGCGGGUCUCUGGGCAGUAACUGACGCUGAGGAGCGAAAGCAUGGGGAGCGAACAGGAUUAGAUACCCUGGUAGUCCAUGCCGUAAACGGUGGGCGCUAGGUGUGGGUUUCCUUCCACGGGAUCCGUGCCGUAGCUAACGCAUUAAGCGCCCCGCCUGGGGAGUACGGCCGCAAGGCUAAAACUCAAAGGAAUUGACGGGGGCCCGCACAAGCGGCGGAGCAUGUGGAUUAAUUCGAUGCAACGCGAAGAACCUUACCUGGGCUUGACAUAUACAGGAUCGCGCCAGAGAUGGUGUUUCCCUUGUGGCUUGUAUACAGGUGGUGCAUGGUUGUCGUCAGCUCGUGUCGUGAGAUGUUGGGUUAAGUCCCGCAACGAGCGCAACCCUUGUCUUAUGUUGCCAGCACGUUGUGGUGGGGACUCGUAAGAAACUGCCGGGGUUAACUCGGAGGAAGGUGGGGAUGACGUCAAAUCAUCAUGCCCCUUAUGUCCAGGGCUUCACACAUGCUACAAUGGUCGGUACGGUGGGUUGCCAGUCCGUGAGGGCGAGCUAAUCCCGCAAAGCCGGUCUCAGUUCGGAUCGGGGUCUGCAACUCGACCCCGUGAAGUCGGAGUCGCUAGUAAUCGCAGAUCAGCAACGCUGCGGUGAAUACGUUCCCGGGCCU